rnacentral:lncRNA from 1 species
GGCCCUUGCUGCUUGUGCUUCGCGUGUUUGCUCGCGUCCUUGCUUGCUUGCGCGCGUGUUUGCUGGCUUGUUUGCUUGCUUGCGCGCGUCCUUGCUUGCGUCCUUGCUUGCUUGCGCGCGUGUUUGCUGGCUUGUUUGCUUGCUGUUUCUCUGGUUCUGUCUUCUUCUCCUUCCUCUGUGCAGAUUCGGUUUUCCCUUUCUUCUUCUCCCACCGUGAUCGGUGCUUGAGUUCUUCACUUCCGGUGAGGAAUUCGCACCUUGUAUUGCGGUGGAAUCGAUUCGAUGAUGAAGAUUCGUACACGAAUCUCUGAGAAUUUCUGAUGAAUUUUCGGUUUUUGGUUCUGGUGUUCUUGGUGAAUCUGUUUUUUUGAUCUAACAGAAUGGAGAGAGAAAGUUUGGAUCUGUUUGUGAUGUGGCACUGUGUGAAUGGAAUCUGUUGAAAAAAAUCUGACACUGUUCCCCUUUUAUAUGCUGCCAUGUGUACCUGAACCAAUGAAAAAAAGACACAUGGACUGGGGACUGGACUGAUACGAAAAUUUGGACCAAAAUGCCCUUUGGGGCGUUUCUGCAAAAUAAUAAAAGAUAAGGACUGAACAGCAAUU